rnacentral:pre_miRNA from 1 species
CUUGUACUCCCUCCGUUCGAAAAUACUUGUCAUUGAAAUGGAUGUAUCUAGAUGUAUUUUAGUUCUAGACACAUCCAUUUUGAUGACAAGUAAUUCUGGACGGAGGGAGUACUUG